UUAUGCUUAGAAAUUACCAAGUUUGAGAGAAAACAUGAUUUUACACUUGUAAAUGAUCUUAAUAAAACUCAUUGUAUGGAAACCUCAUAUCAUUGGUUUCCUACAUGAUAGGUGUAAUAGGCCCAAUUUGCCCGGGCUGAUGAAAAUUAAAAAAAGAAAAAAAAUCCAAACACAAAAAAAUAAUAAAAUAAAAAUUAAAGUGUUUAUGGAUUUAAAGUCCAUUUACAAAUUCAUUUAGCCCAAACAAAAAUAAUAACCUAAAUAAGUACCCAAAAUCCCUUAAUCCAAUUACAUAAAAUUUGACCCAAUUGAACAGACACCCAAAUUCCACGGUCCCGUAGCCCAAUUCACAAACGGCCCAAAAGGCCCAACUGUUUGAAAAUACCAGAAACCUAAGGGUUUCUAGAACACACUAGUGCUGCAAUUGAGCUCACGCACGGCUUUCACAAGCGGCUUUCUCCGUAAGGCCGUUUCUCCAUACCUGCAAUAGAAUAUACGAGAAGAAGCAGCAACAGAAUAUAUAGCCAAAUGAUAGAAGGAAAAUGUAUUUUUUUAUUUUUCAUUUAUUCUGUAAAUCUGGCUAUAAAAAGCCAUUAUUUGUACCUUGAUUGGGGACACUCUACGCAUACACAUACACUAUACGUAUAUCGAAUCUAGAAAAUUUCAAAAAGAAUUUCUGGAAAGGUGAUCUCUAGUUUUUUUCCCUCAUUCUUUUCUGAUCUAUUUUUUUGGUUAGCUAGAUUUCUUUUAGUAUAAGGAUCGACACCAAGGAAAACCCAAAAAUCUCUAAAAUGAAGAGACUUGGGCGAGGGUCGAAUGUUCUCCUCAAAUUUCUGUUUCUCAGUUUUUGUUUGGUUUUCGAAGAAACAAAGCAUGUUUUAAAAUUUUUUUAAAAAAAAAAGAAAGGAGAAGGAAUGAUUUACCAGAUCUCCAUGGUAGCGAAUCUCACAAGGGCUGUUAAUCGCACGGCGUCGACCACUAAUCGAGCAUUGGUUCGUCGGUAGUGGGUCAAAUGAAACCCUAGCAAUUGAGGGGCUAAUGGCUGCUGCUAUUUCUCUAAAGUAAUUAAAAUAUGGGUCAUAUUUAAAGAAAAAGUCUUGAAAUCAUCUGUAAAGUAAAACGACGCUGUUCCAAGAGGGGUAGGAUCCGCGCACCGUUGCUUAAAAUUGGGAAAUUGCGCGUUGGGUCCUUCCUUCUGCGCGAAGCCCUCAAUUGCGUCCUGAUUGCUUACCGUUUUCUAAG
rnacentral:lncRNA from 1 species